rnacentral:lncRNA from 1 species
GUCGGACAUGCAAGAUGACCGGGGAAAUUUAGACAAUAAAACUUUAAUGUCCGAAAAGAAAACCGGCCUUCUUCCAAAAAUCCUGAAAAUAAAACAAGAGAAACAAAAAGAAUAUAAGUCGAUAUAUUUAACACAUUACAUCAAAAUAUUCCCACAAUCAUGAUAACUCAUGAUUGAGACAAUUAAACUCUUAAUUAAGGCAUAAUAAUAAAAUAUUAAUAUCCUUAAUUAAGACACAAUUAAAGCCCUCAAAUAAGGCCCAAUUAACGCCCUCAAUAAAGAGGCAUAAUUAACGAGGAACAAUUACCGCCCUCAAUUAAGGCACAAUUAGCGCGCUUUCCUUUCUGAAACCGGGUCCCGUCCUGAAACCGCCGUCACCGCCACCAUCGACCACCACCGCAGCACCGCUAUGCUAUCGAUCAAAUUGCCUCGUCGUAUGCGAAGCGAACAACGAAGCGUAUCACAUGUAACAUGAAAAAUUGCCAAAAACACCAAAAACCAAACAAAACACAGGGAUUAAACAAAAGGGUCCCGUCCUGAAACCGCCGUCACCGCCACCAUCGACCACCACCGCAGCACCGCUAUGCUAUCGAUCAAAUUGCCUCGUCGUAUGCGAAGCGAACAACGAAGCGUAUCACAUGUAACAUGAAAAAUUGCCAAAAACACCAAAAACCAAACAAAACACAGGGAUUAAACAAAAAAACAAAUACACACAAACAAACAAGAUUAAAAUCAACACCUUUCGCAAUUUCACUCAAAAUCAUGAGAAAAAGAAAGAAUAUUAUAAAUAAUUGUAAUAGAAGGGCAUACCAGUUGAGCCAUGAGGAACCUCAUAGGAUUUGAAAGUCGUAGCAGCAUCAUGUGACAAACCCAUCUUUUUAAUUGCCCCUCUCUCUUGCCUCUCUCUCGAUCUUUUUCUCUUCACGCAGAACAAGAUAUAAGAUGUUAUAUCAAGCUUUAUUACUCAGGUGCCGGAGGAUUGAAUAAACAGAGACCAAACAGGGGUGAGUGAAUGUGGAUGAGUAUGAGUUUGAGUGAGAGAGAGAGAAUUUGAACGCAAGAAAUUCUCAAUUUGAAGUUCUGACCUAGGAGGAGUAGGAGGUUGAAGCGGC